rnacentral:rRNA from 1 species
GACGAACGCUGGCGGCGUGCUUAACACAUGCAAGUCGAACGGAAAGGCCCUUCGGGGUACUCGAGUGGCGAACGGGUGAGUAACACGUGGGUGAUCUGCCCUGCACUUUGGGAUAAGCCUGGGAAACUGGGUCUAAUACCGAAUAGGACCACGCGCGUCAUGGUGUGUGGGGGAAAGCUUUUGCGGUGUGGGAUGGGCCCGCGGCCUAUCAGCUUGUUGGUGGGGUAAUGGCCUACCAAGGCGACGACGGGUAGCCGGCCUGAGAGGGUGACCGGCCACACUGGGACUGAGAUACGGCCCAGACUCCUACGGGAGGCAGCAGUGGGGAAUAUUGCACAAUGGGCGCAAGCCUGAUGCAGCGACGCCGCGUGAGGGAUGACGGCCUUCGGGUUGUAACCCUCUUUCACCAGGGACGAAGCGUAAGUGACGGUACCUGGAGAAGAAGCACCGGCCAACUACGUG